rnacentral:rRNA from 1 species
GAUUUCUGGCGUUUCAUUUCAGGCCGGCCACGGUUUCGUGUGUUAGUGCUUGAGAUCUUCGCCAUCCUUCCAAUGGCUAUUCAUCCUUCUUCAUUGAGGUGGUGAGUGGUAUUGGAUCUUUUACUUUGAAAAAAUUAGAGUGUUUCAAGCAGGCUUUAUGCUAUGAAUACAUUAGCAUGGAAUAAUAAUUUAGGACUUCGGUUCUAUUUUGUUGGUUUCUAGGACUGAAGUAAUGAUUGAUAGGGAUAGUUGGGGGUGCUAGUAUUCAGCGGCCAGAGGUGAAAUUCUCGGAUUCGCUGAAGACUAACUUAUGCGAAAGCAUU